rnacentral:lncRNA from 1 species
CCAAUCAAACAAACAGAACUCACACCUGCCGGCCUCGAAAGUAUCGAAGUAAAGGAACCUCAAAACCUUUUUUUAUUUUUGACAGAAAAAAAACCUCAAAACCUUAACAAGGCAAUAAACCAAACAAAAAACACUGUACUACAUUGUUCUUCCUAUAAAUACAUUCCUCAGUGUUUUUAUCACUCAUUUUGUUUCGUUUCAUUUUCAUUACACACUCACUUUGUUUCCUCCGUCAUUCCUUAGAUCUCAGAUCUCUCUCUAAUGGCAUCCAUUACAGGAACCUCCAUGUCCCUUCUCCAAAACCAAUCUAUGGUAUGUAUUACUACUAAUCACCCCUUUUCAUUUUCUUGAUCCUUUCACUCAUUAACUACUUAAACAUUGUUUAGUGGAUCCAUUAAAUCAAAUUUUGUCAUGUUGGUCACAAGAAAGAUUUGAUUUUUAUAUGAUUUUGUCAUGUUGGUCUAAAGAAAGAUUUGAUUUUUUUAUGAUUUUGUUAUGUUGGUCAGAAGAAAGAUUUCAUUUU